rnacentral:rRNA from 1 species
ACGAACGCUGGCGGCGUGCCUAAUACAUGCAAGUCGAGCGAAGUUUUUCUGGUGCUUGCACUAGAAAAACUUAGCGGCGAACGGGUGAGUAACACGUAAAGAACCUGCCUCAUAGACUGGGACAACUAUUGGAAACGAUAGCUAAUACCGGAUAACAGUAUUUCUCGCAUGAGAGAUAUUUAAAAGUUGGUUAUGCUAACACUAUGAGAUGGCUUUGCGGUGCAUUAGCUAGUUGGUGGGGUAAAGGCCCACCAAGGCGACGAUGCAUAGCCGACCUGAGAGGGUGAUCGGCCACACUGGGACUGAGACACGGCCCAGACUCCUACGGGAGGCAGCAGUAGGGAAUCUUCCGCAAUGGGCGAAAGCCUGACGGAGCAACGCCGCGUGAGUGAAGAAGGAUUUCGGUUCGUAAAGCUCUGUUGUUAGGGAAGAAUGGAUAUGUAGUAACUAUACAUGUAAGAGACGGUACCUAAACAGAAAGCCACGGCUAACUACGUG